GCGUCCUGAGUACAGUGGUUAGUACACUUGACAUGGAUAUAAGUGAUGUGGGUUUGACUCCCACAGGACACA
rnacentral:tRNA from 1 species